rnacentral:rRNA from 1 species
AUAUCACUAAGCGGAGGACAAGAAACUAACCAGGAUUUCCCUAGUAACGGCGAGCGAACCGGAAAGAGCCCAGCUUGAAAAUCGGGGCGCCUCGCGCCCCGAAUUGUAGUCUGGAGAAGGUCCCUCUGCGGCGCGCCGGACCCAAGUUCCCUGGAAAGGGACGUCUUAGAGGGUGAAAACCCCGUUCGAGUCCGGGACUUUGCCGCUCCACGAGAACCUGUCUGCGAGUCGGACUGUUUGGGAAUGCAGUCCUAAGCGGGUGGUAAAUUCCAUCCAAGGCUAAAUAUUGGCAAGAGACCGAUAGCGAACAAGUACCGCGAGGGAAAGAUGAAAAGGACUUUGAAAAGAGAGUUAAAAGUGCUUGAAAUUGCUGGGAGGGAAGCGAAUGGAAGCUGCGGGUGCGCCCCGGUUGGAUGUGGAACGGCCCUCGGGCUGGUCCGCCGCUCAACGCGGGGCGCUGGUCAGCGUGGGCUGCCGCGGCGGGACAAGUGCGGGAAACCGUUUCCCGCCCCAUGCCGUUGCGGCGGCCGAGGAACGAAGCGCGCGCCCCCCUUCUCGGAGGGGGGCGUGGUCCACCCAACUGCGCGCUCGGGACGCUGGCGUAUUGAGCUCUUCAUCCGACCCGUCUUGAAACACGGACCAAGGAGUCUAACAUGUAUGCGAGCCGGUGGGCGGCAAACCCAUUGAGGCGCAAGGAACCUGACAGGUGGGAGCCCGAGAGGGCGCACCAUCGACCGACCGUGAUCUUCUGUGAAGGGUC